rnacentral:rRNA from 1 species
GGUUCGAUUCUGACUCAGAUUGAACGCUGGCGGGAUGCUUUGCAUCACAAGUCGAACGGCCAGCACGGACUUCGGUCUGGUGGCGAGUGGCGAACAGGUGGGCUUAAUGUAUCCCGGAACCAUUACCACAAUAGCAGGGGAUAACUACGCGAAAGCGUAGCUAAUACCGCAUACGCCCUUCCGGGGGAAAGCAGGGGACCUUCGGGCCUCAUAUUAAGGCGGCAAAUAUCGGUUAGCUGGAUUGGUGGCGUUAUGGCAAUACCGGCGACGAUCCGUAGCUGGUUUGAAGGGACGACCAGCCACACUGGGACUGAGACGGCGAACUCCUACGGGAGGCAGCAGUGGGGGUACGGACAAUGGGGAAACCCUGAUCAGCCAUCCCGUGUGAGAGCCUUCGGGUUUGUAAAGCACUGGCGGAAAAAGAAGCGGCACGGGAUAUCUGUCUGCCCAGCGGAAAUUUAUACAGAUAACUGAAAGCUAACUACGUGCCACGCGUACGGUAUAUGCGGUGCAAGCGUUAAUCGGAAUUACUGGGCGUAAAGCGUGCGCAGGCGGUUCAGGAAGAAAGAUGUGAAAUCCAGAGCUUAACUGGAACUGCAUUUUUACUUACAAAGUGAGUGUGUGUCAGAGGGGGGUGAAUUCCGCGUCGUAGCGAGUGAAGUAAACAGAUAUGCUGGAAGACACCGAUGGCGAAGGCAGCCUCCUGGGAUAACACUGACGCUCAUGCACGAAAGCGUGGGGAGCAAACAGGAUUAGGCACACCAUUGAUCCGCCCUAAACGAUGUCAGCUAGCUGUUAAGGCCUUCGGGCCUUGGUAGCGCAGCUAACGCGUGAAGUUGACCGCCUGGGGAGUACGGUCGCAAGGUCAAACCAAGGGAAUUGACGAGUUCCCGCACAAGCAGUGGAUGAUGUGGAUUAAUUCGAUGCAACGCGAAACAUACCUACCCUUGACAUGUCUGGAAUCCCGAAGAGAUUUGGGAGUAUCGCAAGAGAACCGGAACACAGGUGCUACGCCAAUGUGACGUAAACUCGUAUCGUGAGAUGAUGAUUCGGAAUCCGCAGCGAGCGCAACCCUUGUCAUUAGUUACUACGAAAGACCUCCUAGCGGAACUGCCGGUGAUAAACCAGCGGAGGAAGAAGGUGAAGUUGACGUCAAGUCUCAUCAGCCCUUGGGUAGGGCUUCACCACGUCAUACAGCCGGUCGGGACAGAGGGUCGCCAACCCGCGAGGAAGACGUAGUAUCCCAGAAACCCGAUCGUAGUCGGAUCGCAGUCUGCAACUUCGACUGCGUGAGUGGAAUCAUAAAUAAUCUCGCGGAUAAAACAUAUCGCGGUGAAUACGUUCCACAGGUCUUAUACGCACCGCCCGUCACACCAUGGGUAAGUUUUACCAGAAGUAGUUAGCCUAAACCGUAAAGGAGGGCGUUACACGGUAGGAUUCAUGACUGGGGUAGAGAUAACAAGGUAGCCCCUGUUA